rnacentral:rRNA from 1 species
CUGGUUGAUCCUGCCAGUAGUCAUAUGCUUGUCUCAAAGACUAAGCCAUGCAUGUCUAAGUAUAAAUGUUAUACAGUGAAACUGCGAAUGGCUCAUUAAAACAGUUAUAGUUUAUUUGAUAAUCGAAUUUACAUGGAUAACCGUGGUAAUUCUAGAGCUAAUACAUGCUGGUUAGCCUGACUUCGAGGAAGGGCUGUAUUUAUUAGAUAACAAACCAAUAUUCUUCGUGUCUAUUGUGAUGACUCAUAAUAACUGAUCGAAUCGCAUGGUCCUUGACCGCGAUAAAUCAUUCGAGUUUCUGCCCCAUCAGCUUUCGAUGGUAGUGUAUUGGACUACCAUGGCUUUAACGGGUAACGGAGGAUUAGGGUUCGAUUCCGGAGAGGGAGCCUGAGAAACGGCUACCACAUCUAAGGAAGGCAGCAGGCGCGUAAAUUACCCAAUCCUGACUCAGGGAGGUAGUGACAAGAAAUAACGGACCGAGGCUUUGCUUCGGGAUUGCAAUGAGUAGAAUUUAAACCCCUUUACGAGGAUCCAUUGGAGGGCAAGUCUGGU